UACGAAGGGGGCUAGCGUUGCUCGGAAUCACUGGGCGUAAAGGGUGCGUAGGCGGGUCUUUAAGUCAGGGGUGAAAUCCUGGAGCUCAACUCCAGAACUGCCUUUGAUACUGAAGAUCUUGAGUUCGGGAGAGGUGAGUGGAACUGCGAGUGUAGAGGUGAAAUUCGUAGAUAUUCGCAAGAACACCAGUGGCGGAAAGGCGGCUCACUGGCCCGAUACUGACGCUGAGGCACGAAAGCGUGGGGAGCAACAGG
rnacentral:rRNA from 1 species